rnacentral:rRNA from 1 species
CCGCGCGAAGGUAGCGUAAUCACUUGUUUUUUAAAUAAAGACUAGUAUGAACGGCCGCACGAGGACCUAACUGUCUCCUUUGUCCAAUCAGUGAAACUGAUCUCCUCGUGCAGAAGCGAGGAUUUUUCCAUAAGACGAGAAGACCCUAUGGAGCUUUAAACUUUAUAUCAAUUAUUCUUUCUUCCCCUCUACGGAACUAACAACCAACUGAAUCUAUUCGAUAAAAGUUUUAGGUUGGGGCGACCAUGGAGAAAAAGAGAUCCUCCCUGAUGAUAAUUAACUAAGAGUCACAACUCUAAGUAUUAAGACACUUAACUCCUAUUGACCCAUUUUAUGAUCAACGAACCAAGUUACCCUAGGGAUAACAGCGCAAUCCAUUUCAAGAGUCCCUAUCGACAAAUGGGUUU